rnacentral:lncRNA from 1 species
GACCUAUGAGUUCCUCCAGUCUCCUGAGCCAGGCUCCACAUCCAACAGCUGACCUAUGAGUUCCUCCAGUCCCCAGAGCCAGGCUCCACAUCCAACAGCUGACCUAUGAGUUCCUCCAGUCUCCAGAGCCAGGCUCCACAUCCAACAGCUGACCUAUGAGUUCCUCCAGUCUCCAGAGCCAGGCUCCACAUCCAACAGCUAACCCACACACUGGCAAGUUGGCUCUAACUAGGGUAGCUCUGGUCACAAUACCAGUAUCACUAUACUAUGAUACUCCACUUUCCAAGGCAAAAAGGAAACACGAAACUGUUUUAACUCUUUAAAAACCUGCUUUAUCUAAAAUAUUGUUUUCUGUAGCUUGAAAAACAAACAAAUGUGACUCUGGGUGACAACAUAAUGCUGCUUGUUUGUAUCCAACAUUAGGACUUCUGAGUAUAGCGAUUCUGCUAUUGAGACACUACUAGGGAGUUGGUAGACAAUGCCUCUAACUACUGGUCUGGGGUCAGACAUUGUUUGAUGGGUAAUCUGAUCCUAGAUCUGUGGCUUAGAGGAAACUUCUACUCAGAGCUGAUCUGACGUCCUGUUUUUAACCACACUGGUUGUUUUGUUGUCUGACUCUGCUCUCAACACCCUGGGGACAACGAGAGUGAACCUCAGACAUGUUGUGAAAGGUCAUCAUGAUUGUACAGAUUAUUUGUAUGUGCGCUAUACUUAAGAGAAUAAAGUCGCCACAGGUUGUGUUUUUACACAGUACUGUGUCAUCAGGUUGUGUUUUUACACAGUACUGUGUCAUCAGGUUGUGUUUUUACACAGUACCGUGUCAUCAGGUUGUGUUUUUACACAGUACUGUGUCAUCAGGUUGUGUUUUUACACAGUACUGUGUCAUCAGGUUGUGUUUUUACAAAUCAAAUCAAAUGUAUUUUUAGCCCUUCUUACAUCAGCUGAUAUCUCAAAGUGCUGUACAGAAACCCAGCCUAAAACCACAAACAGCAAGCAAUGCAGGUGUAGAAGCCACGGUGGCUAGGGAAAAACUCCCUAGAAAGGCAAAAACCUAGGAAGAAACCUAGAGAGGAACCAGGCUAUGAGGGGUGGCAGUCCUCUUCUGGCUGUGCCAGGUGGAGAUUAUAACAGAACUUGGCCAAGAUGUUCAAAUGUUCAUAAAUGACCAGCAUGGUCAAAUAAUAAUAAUCACAGUGGAUGUGAGAGUGCAACAGGUCAGCACCUCAGGAGUAAUUGUCAGUUGGCUUUUCAUAGCCGAUCAUUCAGAGUAUCUCUACCGCUCCUGCUGUUUCUAGAGAGUUGAAAACAGCAGGUCUGGGACAGGUAGCACGUCCGGUGAACAGGUCAGGGUUCCAUAGCCGCAGGCAGAACAGUUGAAACUGGAGCAGCAGCACAGCCAGGUGGACUGGGGACAGCAAGGAGUCAUCAUGCCAGGUAAUCCUGAGGUAAUCCCCGAGAGAGAGAAAGAAAGAAAGAAAGAGAAUUAGAGAGAGCAUACUUAAAUUCACACAGGACACUGGAGAAAUACUCCAGAUAUAACAGACUGACCCUAGCC